AACAGGGCUAGGACAGUUUCCCAGAGGCUUAGGGAUUGGCUGAUAAUUUCAUUUAUACAAAUGUAUCUCAGGGUGAAAACUGACUAGUGAGCGAACACAUGUCAAACAUUUAUCCUGUUUUGUUCUUUUAAUGAAAACUAGAAACAACCUAAUACCCAUUAUUUGGGGACUGGUUAAAAAAAAAAUAAACCAAGUGAGUCCCAGGAAAGGCGCAAAGCUACACAGAGAAACCCUGUCUCGAAAAAACCAAAAAAAAAAAAAAACAAAAAAAACCCUGUUAUUCCUUUGCAAUGGAGCUCCAGACAACAACCAAAACCAUGCAGACAAAUAGCAUGUAUGCCAACAAGAAGGCAGGCUUUCAAAUAUCACAUACAAUAAAUCUCUUAUUUCUAGGUUAUACAUUGUGGGUAAUUUUCAUCUCUUGGUAACCUGUGUACUGUUACUUUAAAAAUGAAAGUAGGAUGUAUAUCAUUAAAAAAAUCUAGAAACAACUUUAUUUUUCUGGGGUAAAAGGCCACAGGUGGAUGCUGUGGGAUGGUCUGUAUGUCACAUGUGUUGCUGAUUGGUCAAUGAAUAAAUCACUGAUUGGUCAGUGGCCAGGCAGGAAGUAUAGGCGGGACUAACAGAGAGGAGAAUUGAGAGAACAGGAAGCUGGGUGAGGGAGACACUGCCAGCCGCCAUCAGGACAAGGAAGAUGUAAAGUACCGAUCAUAGAUGGGACCGAAAGCCUUGGCCAGAGGAGGAAGCCUGAGGAAACUGAGGCUGAGGGAUGAAACUGUUCACCCAUUGUCAUACUUUCUGACUUAGUUUGAUGCUAUCCCUACUGGAUCAAUGAAGCACUUAACCUUGGCAACAUGGUAGAAUCACCUGGGAGCUUUAAAAAGUUCUGGCUGCCUAGGCCCCACCCUCAAGUUCUGAUUCAAGUGGCUGGAGGUGCUGCCUAGAUGUCCCCAGAUAAUUCUAGUCAAUCUGAGAAGUGUUGCACCAGAUUCUGGUGUUUCUCUAACUAGGGUCAUCAUCUGGCACAGCAGGAACCUCGGGCUUUGGCCACACCCACCUGGAGUGAAGAACCUUUCAACAGGUUAGAGGUGGACUCCAGCACAAGAUGAGGAUGGAACCUGACUCUACCAUCUGAAAGUCUUGAGGAGGCAGAGACUGCAGUAUGCUCAGAUGGGGUAGGCUACAAAGACAAACUACUCCAGCAAACAUGGGAAUAAACCUUCACCAGUCACAGGCCAGUCCAGGCUCACCAUUUCCAGAGGAAGAAAGAUUCAGGCCUCUACUAAGGAUCCAGUCCACAAAGACGUUUGAAGGACAUUUUAAUGCUUCUGUUAAUGACUAUUUUCUUUAGAACCCACCUGCUUCACACAUGUGUGAACUCUUUCCUAACUAUUCUGAUAUUUAAUAUGCUUAGGAACAGAAUCUGGAAAACUCCCCAAAAAACCAUUGGUUUGCUCCUUGUCAUAUGAAUGAAGCUAUGGGUAGCAGAGCUUUCUAAGGACAGAAGUGCCCAUUUCACUUAUUUAUACAGAUGGGAUCUGUCUGCCUUAUGUCACUAAGCACAAUUGUCUGUAAUUGAUCCAUGCUGAUUAGUUAUCCGUUCAUGCUUCUUUUAUUACAGAUAGUAUUCCACUGUAUUAACGUGCCACACCUUACUCCCUGUUGGUAGACAUGGAGCUUUUCCAUGAUUUUGGCUACUGUACAUAAAGUUGCUAUGAAGAGGUAUGCUACAAGUGUGUGUGUAGACUGAAGCUUUCGUCUUUCUUGUGAACUGCUGAGAAUGAAAUGAUGAGUCGAAGAUGAA